UACGUGAAACUGCUUAGAGGUUAAACCCGAUGAACCUGAAUAUCCAUUAUGGAAAAUUCAAUACUAAUGUUAAAAUGUAUAUUUUUACAUUAUAAAAAUAGUGUGCAAUUUUUCCAUAUAAGGACAUUGUAAUCUGUUAAUGUCAUAAAUAUUUAUCAAAAGAUUUAAUACUUAAAGUUUAUUUAAAUUGUUUAUUUUCGAAUAUUCAACAUAAAAUAAAUGUAUUAAAUUGGAUAAAUCAUUGACAGAUAUAAUUAUAUAAUGUGCUUAAAUUCAUUUGAAUUUAGCAAUAAUAUUUAAAUCUAUUGAUUUAUAAUAUUUAUUUGCCUGCACUAUUAUGAUUAACAAUGCGAUAGAUUCAGGAUACCUUCGGGACCCGUCUUGAAACACGGACCAAGGAGUCUAACAUAUGUGCAAGUCAUUGGGUAUAUUUAAUAAAACCCAAUGGCAUAAUUAACUUAACUUUAUUUAAAUGGGAUUAAUUUAUAAUUUUUUUUUUAUAAAAAAAUUAUUUAUUCAAUCCCGGGGCGUUCUAUAUAGUUAUGUAUAAUAAUAUUUAUAUUAUUUAUACCUCUAACUAGAGCGUACCUUGAGCAUAUAUGCU
rnacentral:rRNA from 1 species